UAUUAGCAAAUCAUUAAAUUGCUACCUUUCUAAGAAGUUAACCAGAGGUAUGAGAAAUUGAGAAUCAAUUCCCACUUGUCUAUGAGAUUGGGAUUUAAUAAGGAUUGAAAUUUUAUCGACUUGGAAUGAAUAUCCUUCAUUAUCCUAAAUCCCUAAUCCAUUCAAUACAUGCCGGCGAAAAACGGGAGAAGGGUGAGUGGCGAAUUUUGUGGAAUAAAAAUGAAAUUCCAAGAAUGAGAUCGGUUUUCUUGAUGCCUCUAUUGGUAGCCCUAGGAGUAGUUGUUGUUGCAGAGAUCGGUUUUCUGGGUCGGCCAAGAACGUCGCUUUCUUUGUUCAACUCCUGAGCCGAGUCGUUCUAUUACUCUAUUCCAGAGAUUUUCAGAAAGGAAACUAUCUCAGUUUUAGGAGCUUGCUUGGUAGAUUGCUAUUGGUGUUGAAGAUAUCUAUUAUUUUCGACAUUAUUGGUAACGAGCUUUAAGCUCUCCUCAAGCGCAUGAGCAGUUGGUGUUUUGAUGAGAAACUUUUCUUACAGUCACUUUACAAGGUUUUGGUUUCAGUCUCUGAAAGCAGUUCCAUCAUUCUUUACCUCGUUUCAUACAAAAUUUGCACAAUGCUGUAUUUAAAAUCUCAUUAAUUUAAGCCCAUUAACAUUUGGUUGGAUAGAGAAAGAGAAGUCCAACAUUCGGAUGGAUACAGCCUAUUAGAUAUAAGGAUAGAUCAGGGAAUAGGAGAAAUUUUGGACUUAUUUUGUAAUAUUUGUUAAAUUGGGCUUUUAAAUUCUGUAAAUUUUGAUUGCACUAAAGAAGAUGUACCAACACUUUCUACAAAGAAAAAGAAGGUUCAGUAUUCUAAAGACUACAAAUCCCUAAACCCUAAACUGAUCGAAAACCCAAAUCCCUAAACUAAAAAUCAAAUUCACGACAAAAAUCACCCAACCAACAAAAUCCAUAAUCAAAUCUACAACCAAACUCAUCCAAAAAACAAAAUCCAUAACCAAAAACUUGCUACAGAAAAAUACAGAUUUGUGUUUACCUGAACAGAUGGAGCUUGAAAGUUCUGGUUUCAAUUGGAAUUGGAGUUUGGUUAAUAACAAUGGGCUGGUCUCAUCGGAUUUCAAGAUUGAUGUUUGAGCAGGCCUUUGAAUUACUCUGUUGCUGAAGUUUUUUCUCUGAUAUUUUCAAUGCUGUGAUGUUUCUGGUUUGAGGGAGAUUGUUGCAGAGAUGCAAGCUUUAAUGGACUUUAAGAUCAAAAAUUUUUAGGGCAGGAUUUUUUAGUUCUGGUUUAUUUUGUUUUUGUUUCUUCUGGUUCACUCUAGUCUAGCUUGGAUUUCCUUUGCUGGUUUGAAAAUGGACAUAGUCCAUUACUUGCUUUGUACUGGAGGAUGUCCUCCAUUUUAGUAAUUGUACUAUUCUGAUUUAUAUAUAAAACAAAAAUCCCAUUCAGGAAAAAAAAGAAAAGAAAAGAAAUUCAGCAACAAGAAGAAACUUAGAUAUAUUUGUGAUGGAGGAUGACGAAUUGAAACAAAAUUAAAUCAACAAGGAACCAAAUGUACAGCACAUGACAUUAAGGGAAUUAAGGCUUAAAAUUAUUCAAGAAAUAGUUAAACAAAUAACCUAUUUCUCUAAUUGAAUCAAGCUAAGUGUCAAUUGAGUGGGACCCAUAUCUAAUUACAGUAUAAAUUAAAGAUUCUGCUUCAGAACGACGAUAAGUGCACAGAGUGCAUGUCGAAAAUUCACUGUUUGCUAUGCCCCUUGAUUCA